CGGGCCUCUGCGAUCUCGGAGGGGAACCGGUCGGGGUCCCGGGUGAUGCUGCAGGAGGAGCAGGGAGAAGCCGAUGAGACCAUUAUGUGGGCUGCUUUAAAAAGUCCUCGCUUCCAGCACAGAAAGUUUGUAAAUUCCAAAUCCAGGGCUGCGUGAAACAGAAAAGGGCAAAGUGUCGAUGAGAGUUUGGAAGCAAAAUAAACCUUCGACCACAUAGGAGGACUUAGCCCAAAAUAGCAAGAAAAUGUGAGCACCCAGGGAAAGUGGAAUUUCCGUUUUUCAGAGUGAAGGUGCUGGAGGCAAGAAAUGAUAAGAGUAAACAAAAAGGUCAUGGUGUCAAGUGCUGUACUAAUGUAGCUGAUACUAAAAAGAAGCUGAAAGCAAGAUUGACCCAGAGAAGCCUGAAAGAGGCUGAUUUGCCUCCAGAUAAUCAGCAGGUGUCUACUUUUGUCUCCUGCAAUCAUUCAUCCAUUCAACAACUCUUUCCUGUCUCUGGAGUCAAAAGUCCUGGGUCCAUAACUCAGUUCCAGGACUCUUACUAGCUGCGACUCAGUUUCCUCCACCAGCAAAUGUGGAGAUUAAAUGAUAGGAUCCAUAUAUAGCAUGAAGAGCAGGGCUGGAACAUGGAGAGUAUUCAGUAUAGGUACUAUUGUUAAGUCUACAUUGUCCUAAUGAUACACAGUGGACGGGAAAGAUGUGGAAUUUGCCCUCAUGUAACUUCUGUCUAGACAAAGCAUUAUGACAUUUUAAAAAGUAAAAGGAUGCCUGCUUAGACAAGAUGGUCCUUAGCUUCCCAACAUGCUCAGCUCACCCUUUUACUUACUGCACUGUGAACUCCCGUAAAGAGAACAUCUGAACACUUGUCUCCUGAACUCAUCUGUGAUCCGCGCUCACCCCGUGUAGGAACACUGCUCCAGAACCCGGG